rnacentral:rRNA from 1 species
CCUACGGGGGGCAGCAGUGAGGAAUAUUGGUCAAUGGGCGGGAGCCUGAACCAGCCAAGUCGCGUGAGGGAAGACGGUCCUAUGGAUUGUAAACCUCUUUAGGCGGGGAGCAAUGCCGGGCACGCGUGCCCGGAGGGAGAGUACCCGCAGAAUAAGCAUCGGCUAACUCCGUCCCAGCAGCCGCGGUAAUACGGGGGAUGCGAGCGUAAUCCGGUUUUAUUGGGGUAAAAGGGUAGGUAGGGGGAUUUUUAAGUCAGCGGUAAAAUGUCCGGGUGAAACCCGGGACGGCCGUUGAAACUGGGAAUCUUGAGUGUGCGAGAGGUAUGCGGAAGGCGUGGUGUAGCGGUGAAAUGCGUAGAUAUCACGAAGAACUCCGAUUGCGAAGGCAGCAGACUGGAGCGCGACUGACACUGAGGCACGAAAGCGUGGGGAUCGAACAGGAUUAGAUACCCUAGUAGUC